AGAGUUUGAUCAUGGCUCAGGAUGAACGCUAGCGGCAGGCCUAACACAUGCAAGUCGAGGGGCAGCAGGGGUAGCAAUACCCGCUGGCGACCGGCGCACGGGUGCGUAACGCGUAUGCAACCUGCCCUGCACCGGGGGAUAGCCCGCCGAAAGGCGGAUUAAUACCCCAUGUACCCGGUUGUCCGCAUGGGCAAGCGGGUAAAGCCGAGGCGGUGCGGGAUGGGCAUGCGUGCCAUUAGCUGGCUGGUGGGGUAACGGCCCACCAGGGCUACGAUGGCUAGGGGGUCUGAGAGGAUGGUCCCCCACACUGGUACUGAGACACGGACCAGACUCCUACGGGAGGCAGCAGUGAGGGGUAUUGGUCAAUGGGCGGAAGCCUGAACCAGCCAUGCCGCGUGCGGGAGGAAGGCCCUACGGGUUGUAAACCGCUUUUCCGGGGGAAGAAUAUGCCCGACGAGUCGGGCGAUGCCGGCACCCCGGGAAUAAGGAUCGGCUAACUCCGUGCCAGCAGCCGCGGUAAUACGGAGGAUCCGAGCGUUAUCCGGAUUUACUGGGUUUAAAGGGUGCGUAGGCGGCCCGGGCAAGUCAGCGGUGAAAUGAGGCGGCUCAACCGUUUCGCUGCCGUUGAUACUGCGGGGCUUGGAUACGGUCGGGGCGGGUGGAAUUCGUGGUGUAGCGGUGAAAUGCAUAGAUAUCACGAGGAACGCCGGUAGCGAAGGCAGCUCGCCGGGCCGAGAUCGACGCUGAGGCACGAAAGCGUGGGGAUCAAACAGGAUUAGAUACCCUGGUAGUCCACGCCGUAAACGAUGAUGGCUGGGUUUUCGUCCGUAAGGGCGAGGGCCUGAGGGAAACCAUUAAGCCAUCCACCUGGGGAGUACGGCCGCAAGGCUGAAACUCAAAUGAAUUGACGG
rnacentral:rRNA from 1 species